rnacentral:snoRNA from 1 species
AACUAAUUCAUUACCACAAGCUGGGUUCUCACAGGAUAGAAAGUGGUAGAGUGAGCCUACCCUAGGCACCUCAGCCCAGGUCCUCUGCCUAGUCUGCACUGUGAAUGGAGAGACAUGG